rnacentral:rRNA from 1 species
UACGUAGGGGGCUAGCGUUGUCCGGAAUCAUUGGGCGUAAAGAGCGCGUAGGCGGCCAGACAAGUCCGGUGUGAAAGUCACAGGCUCAACCUGUGAAUGCCGCUGGAAACUGUCUGGCUCGAGUCCGGGAGGGGCGAGUGGAAUUCCUGGUGUAGCGGUGAAAUGCGCAGAUAUCAGGAAGAACACCCGUGGCGAAAGCGGCUCUCUGGAACGGUACUGACGCUGAGACGCGAAAGCGUGGGGAGCGAACAGG